UGCAGUCGAGGGGCUGCACAUGAGUAGCAAUACGAUGGUGGCGACCGGCGCACGGGUGAGUAACACGUAUGCAACCUACCUUUAACAGGGGAAUAACCCGUUGAAAAACGGACUAAUGCCCCAUGACACAGGGGUCCCGCAUGGGAAUAUUUGUUAAAGAUUAAUCGGUUGAAGAUGGGCAUGCGUUCCAUUAGCUUGUUGGUGAGGUAACGGCCCACCAAGGCAACGAUGGAUAGGGGAACUGAGAGGUUUAUCCCCCACACUGGAACUGAGACACGGUCCAGACUCCUACGGGAGGCAGCAGUGAGGAAUAUUGGUCAAUGGAGGCAACUCUGAACCAGCCAAGUCGCGUGAAGGAUGAAGGUCUUAUGGAUUGUAAACUUCUUUUUCAAGGGAAUAAAGUGGGGGACGUGUCCUCCUUUGCAUGUACCUUGCGAAUAAGGAUCGGCUAACUCCGUGCCAGCAGCCGCGGUAAUACGGAGGAUCCGAGCGUUAUCCGGAUUUAUUGGGUUUAAAGGGUGCGCAGGCGGGAUGUUAAGUCGGCGGUGAAAUUUUGCAGCUCAACUGUAAAAGUGCCUUCGAUACUGGCUUCCUUGAGUGUGGAUGAAGUAGGCGGAAUUUGUGGUGUAGCGGUGAAAUGCUUAGAUAUCACGAGGAACUCCGAUUGCGCAGGCAGCUUACUAAACCACUACUGACGCUCAUGCACGAAGGCGUGGGGAUCAAACAGGAUUAGAUACCCUG
rnacentral:rRNA from 1 species